CUCCAGAAGCUUCUCUGCAUUCCAAUCUCAAUCUCCCCGAAAAGGUAGCUUGGCUACCUGUGUGUCUUUAUGGUUUGCUUUUGUUUCCGUGAUGAUUUAUUAUACGAAAGAGGUGAAGCCUCAGCUUCCUGAACCCAGAACAACCCAUAAUUCAUUGAACCCACAGCAGAAAAGAUUAAAGUCAAACUGGGUAAAGAAUUUAGAAUACUGGAAAUCAGUGACACAGAGCUAGAAAGAAUAAGAAAAUUCCAUGCAGAUGUGGUUCUGGUCUGGGACAGGGAAAUAGAGAUCACCCCAGUCCUGGGGCUGCCCUCGAAGGCUGAGGCUGGCUGGGUAUCCCUUGCCUUUUCUGACCAACAGGCUGUUGAGGAGGUUUGGUGGGGGGUGGGGGGGUGGAGACAGGUGGCACUUCAUCCCACGGCGCCCUGACUGGCUGGUCUUGGAGGUCGCCUGAUGUCGUGACCCCUUCUUCUGUGAUCAGAGAUUUGCCCUGGCAGCCCUGUGGAGCAGGUCGGAGAGGAGAGAUGGAAGGUGGGCAGCGUUCUCCGGAGGCUACUGCGUGAUGUGCGGGGUCUGCAUAGAUGAUGAUGAGCAAGUAACGGCUGGCAUCGACCGAGGGCCUUCUAAGUGGCAGCCAGCGCUCUGGGCUCUCGCAGACAUUACUGUCUAGUCUUCACAGCUGCCCUGCUUGGUCUAACACAGGGCUCCCCACAGCUGCCGGCAGACCACACCUGUAGACACUCAACUAAGGCUUCUGGAAGGAACACAACGUUGCUCCCUACCCCCUUCUACGUCCCUGCUGUCCUUGGGCCUGAGCAGGGGGCACUUCCAGGCACGAUCCCCAGAAUUCCUGCAUUUCAGGUGUCCCUCCAACCGGCCCCUACCGUGGCCUCUCUAUACCCAGGCAGUUCUAUUACUGGAAAGGAGAUGGGGGUGAGGGCAGGACCUGCAGGGUGAGUAAUAGAUAAAGUCAUUUAAAAAAUGCCUGCAAAUGGUAAGCCUGUUAGCUGUUAUUCUUAUUAUAACUGGGCUCCAUGAAUGCAGAGCUUAGGGACUUUGGCACCAAUGACCAGGUUUAAAGAGGGAC
rnacentral:lncRNA from 1 species